GAUGGACUAAAUAUUGCUUUUUCUCCUGAUUUCCGCAGAAACCGAGACAGUACCCACUGCCAGCAGCAGAUGGGAAGUCUAAACAGGAGAGACUGAAUAAAGCUGACAACUGAGGCAGGAUAAAGAAGAGAAGGAACAAAGAAGGAGGGGGCAGGAAAAGAAGCCAAGCAGAACAUGCUAGCCUGUCGAUUUUGUCUUCCAUUAAGGCUUCAGCAGAAGAUAAGAAAAGCUAAGCCACGUCAGUGAAGGGAGGACAGCAGGAAGGCUUUCAGGGGAAGAUUUGUGGUGUGGAUUCACUCGGCAUUGAUGAGAGCAGCUCCCCAGACAGAUACCGAGGAUCUUCUGAAUUGGCGGCCUCUACAUAUGCUUCUGCUAAGGAGCAUGUAUUCAUUCAACAAGCAUUUUAAACCCCCAGCAAGGCACAAGCUACAAGGGUUACAAGAGACACAAGAAGAGAUGAGGUGGCUCCUGCUUCCCAAAGAGUGUGGUCCAGGGAAAGGAAUAGGUGAGUAAAUAUGCCUACUAGAAUAUCAACUCCACUGGAGCAAGGACUGUGCCUGUUUUGUUCACAGUUGUUUCCAGCACCUAGAAAGUGCCUGGCAUAUAGUUGCCUACUAUAUGUUGUUGGAAGAAAGAGAGAGGGAGGGAAAGAAGGAAGGAGGAAAUGAGGGAGGAAGGAGACAAAGAGGCAGUUUUGGUUUUUUUUAGGACAUUAGGCCAGAGAUGAGAGGGAAUUUGGCAUGCAGGACAGCCAAUAAGGCCACAGACAGGAAAUGAUACCAAGUGCUCUAAGAAUAUAGAAACAUUAUUAUUUCUAUGUGAGGUGACCAAGGAAGACUUUUCAGAAGAGGAGGGGUUUGCUGGGUGUUUCAACACGUUCCUAACCUAUACAUACUUUGCCUUCUUUAGUAAUCUGUAUUGACUUGUUGCAAUUGCUUCAACCCAGAAGAGAAGUUCCAGGUCUUAAAUCCCAUGCACUUUGCAGACAUGCUGCCCGCUUCAGAACAGAUCCUGGCCAGAGGGAGCUCAGAAUCAGACAUCAGGCUGUGGUUCUGGGGAAGAGGCCCAUGGGUCACAGUAGUAGCCAGGCCAUGAGCUACCACAGUGGCAGCCUGUGUGAAGAAGUCUACCCUGGUACCACGGCACGGGAGAGAGGCUGCCUGCCUUUAUUUCAAAGUGGGGCUGUGUAGAAGCUGCCAACUUAGUAUAGCAAAAUAUACAGAUCCCAGAAUUCUGAUCUGCCCUGUGGGCAUCUGUCCUGCCUCACUCUGAGCCAUUCAAUGACUGACACGGUCCUCUAGCCUUCCGCUCCUUCCAGCCUAGCCCAGCUGCAGUUUUCUCUCCCAGGGCCUCACUCUCUCUUCCCAAGGUAGGAGAAUAUCAGUCUGUUAAAUCUCUAAGAUCCUGACUCAACCGCAACAACACACUGGGCUCUCCUGAGGCCUCCUGGUAAGAAGACACUACUUAUCUCCAUUAACCUCUGACCCAGCUAAGAUGAAACAGCCACAUCUGAGAGCCUGAGUGCCCUCUUCCCUGAACUAAAGCUAAAUAAAGUAUGGGGGUAGGGUGCAGGGACAGAGAGCAGCCUCAGACUUGCAACCCCCGCCCCUCCAGGGAAUGGCUGCCUCCUCCCUUCUGGCCUCAUCCCUGAGCCUGUUAAUAGAUGACUCCUAGGGAACCCCUCCAGGUGGCCUGUGGGUUAAGAACUACAUCUGGAGGAAGCACUGCCCCCUAGGAUGAUGGAAGGGCCAUAAACCCUCAAAGACUCUCUGUUUGAUUUAUGUGAUAAUAAUGGGAAUGUUAAUCUCCAAAGGCAAAGCCAUUCACCCCAAAUUCCAACCUCCUGGGUCCCUACACCUGACUUAACGAGAACAGACCCCCUUACCCACGGUUCCCACGGACUGGGCAUUUUACGUUCAGUGUCUCUUUUUCUCCUCACCACAAGUCAGGAGCUGCAUGCUGUUAUGAUGCCCAUGUUACAGGUGGGGAAACAGAAGCUCAGAGAGCUCUCGUGACCUGCCCAAACUAACAGCUAACAGUUAAUGAUCUGUUCACUCACAUCAGUGGCCCAGCUGAGAGUGCAACUGCAUUUGUCUAACUCCAAAGCCUGUGCUUUUACCCUGUUCCACACUCUCCCAGCAAUCACCCUAGAGCUUCCUACUUGGAAAAAAAAAAUCUAGUUCAACCAGAGGCUACAAAUGAUGCUGCUCUUGAGUUCGUUCAUUCAAAUUGCCUUUAAUUCAAAUAUUCACUUACAGGGCAGCAGAAUAGUUAAAUGCCGUCUUAUCUGCCCUCUGAGAACUAUAAAUCACCCAAAUUAAUAUUAGGUGCCUACUAUGUGCCAGGUCAUAUUAGUCAAUGCGAUACCAACUAUAAAUACUACAGGGCAUCACUAAAUAUUAGAUAGGUGAGAGCAUAUUUGUGUCUGUUUCUAGAUUGUAUGCAUUUUAAUCCCCACAAGCAAUAAUUCUCUUUAAAGAUGACAAGUAGCAAUAAUGUGAAUUAAAAUUAAUUUAAAUAAAAAGAAACUAAGAGUUUUGGGGUUUUUUUUUAAUGGUCUUCUGGUCAGUGCAAUUAGCCAAUGGACUCAAAAUGAAAGCAAGCACUGGCUUCCAGGUGGCAGGCCAGAAAUACGAGACCAUAAAAGAGGCCUUUGUAAAAGAGGGUAAUUUAGAUAAACAUGGGGAGGGGUCCCUGAAGAGUCCCUCAGGAGUAGACUGUCUAAUUUGUUUUGUAUUCCUAAUGCCUGCUGCGUAUAUAUGCUGAGUGAAUGAGUAAACGAAUCAAUGGAUGAUUUACAGGCUUUUCCAUGCAAGAAGCACCUCCUGAAAUACACCACAGUUAGAGGCAUGAGCUGAGAACAGGGUGGGGGUCGUGGGGAAUGAGAAGUUUGUACCAACUGCACAGCAUAUAAAAUGCUUAAAUGCGUUUAUAAAAGGAAAAAAUAACCAGCCUGGGCAACAUGGCAAAACCUCGCCUCUACAAACAAUUAAAAAAUUAGCCAGGCUUGGUGCCAUGUGCCUAUGGUCCCAGCUACUCGGGAGGUAAGGUGGGAGGAUCGCUUGAGCCCAGGAGGUAAACACCUCAGUGAGCCUUGAUCACACCAGUGCACUCUAGCCUGGGCAACAGAGUGAGACCCUGUCUCAAAAAAAUUAAUUAAUUAAUUAAUAAUCUUUGAGUACUUUCUUUGCAGCUGCCUAGGUACACUGAUAUAUGUCAUACUCUCAUUUAAUAUAGUGAGCCCAUGAAAUCUGUUUUAUUGUGCCCAUUUUACAGAUGAGGAAAUUGGGGCUCAUAGAGUUUAACGGACUUACCCAAAGUUGUAGAGCAAGAAAGUAUUAAAGCCACAAUGUGGACACCAAUGUCUGGCUCCUUAGCGCACUCCCUUUCCUCCACGGCAUGCUGAAGGAGCCCAUUUCCUUCUGAGAAGGAUGCUACCGUGUUUCUCCAAGUCUGGGCUAGAAAGAUCCAUGACAAAUAACUUGGCAAAGAAAUAGAACAAUAACCUCUCAAAAGGAAAGUGAAGAUACUCUCUACACUGGAAGUUCCUGACCUUCUUGUUCUGAACAUUUCAAGCCAACUGGGCACAUGUAGUCUGCCUUUCAAUACACAAUAUAUGGAAAAGCAGAGACUGGGGCCCAAUUAACUUCCUCACUCUCAGAUUCUUGCCUAGGAAACCAGCAAGUGAAUCUCCCUUAUUGUUCAACUCAUUGGCACCUCCACUAGAGACUUCAGAGAAGAAAUAAGCGUAUUCGGUUGGUGCAAAAGUAAUUGCGGUUUUUGCCAUUAAAAGUAAUUGCAAAAACCACAAUUACUUUUACACCAACCGGAUAAAAAUAAAUUCAAAGCAAGUGUUAUUGCUGUAUGUAACCAAUUAUAGGGAUUUGGGGGUGGAAGUUGUUUUGUUUUGUUUUUUUAAAGAGAUAGGGAUUAUUUGGAGGGUAUGAACGUGAAGAAACGUUGAAAGUACAUUGUUUUAAAAAAUGAUUGCAAUUUUCUUUCAAUGUACUACCUUAAACUUCUUGUUCUACCUAAUCUAAAUCAGCUAUAAAAUCAGGCAAGUUUGAGCUGUCAGUCUUGUGUAUAAAACCAAUGAAAAUAUUUUAUUGUGUGCACUUUAUUGCCUGAUGGCUGAUUCACUGACAAAUUGAUUCACAAUUUGUUUGGAAAAAUCUCCAGGUCCAAAGGCCAGUGGAGGUUUAAUUUGGCCUGUAAUUGAGCUUUGCAGAUAACUAAAUUCUUCUGGGGUGGGGUGAGAUGAAGGAGGUGGUGGGAGGUGCUGGGGGGUGGGGUUCCCUAAAAAUCCUGUCAUGUGCAUAAUCUUUUCCCAACCCAGUGUGCUUUCUGAACCAUUUCCUACACUUACCAGAUAGAGCAAGGGGUUGGUCUGAGUAAGGAAACACAGGCCUCAUGACUCCUCACUGAGAGGCAGGUCCUCCACCUUCUGUUCUCUUUGCUUCCCCUGUUGUGAACCAUAUGUGCUGGACCAAAAAUUGAGACAUGUGAUCUGGCCAUGAAAAAAUGAAAUUAAGACUGUUCCAGAAGAUCUAGGGUAUAUGUUCUCCAGAGACAGAGCAACCAGGACGAUAU
rnacentral:lncRNA from 1 species